rnacentral:rRNA from 1 species
UACGAGGGAUCCUAGCGUUGUUCGGAAUCAUUGGGCGUAAAGGGUGUGUAGGCGGCCAUGUAAGUCAGUUGUGAAAGCCCCGGGCUCAACCCGGGAAGUGCUUCUGAUACUGCUUGGCUUGAGUAUUGGAUAGGUGAGUGGAAUUCCAGGUGUAGUGGUGAAAUACGUAGAUAUCUGGAGGAACACCGGCGGCGAAGGCGGCUCACUGGCCAUAUACUGACGCUGAAACACGAAAGCGUGGGUAGCAAACAGGG